GAUGAACGCUAGCGGCAGGCCUAACACAUGCAAGUCGAGGGGUAGAUAUCUUCGGAUAUUGAGACCGGCGCACGGGUGCGUAACGCGUAUGCAAUCUACCUUGUACAGAGGGAUAGCCCAGAGAAAUUUGGAUUAAUACCUCAUAGUAUUAUUGAAUGGCAUCAUUUACUAAUUAAAGUUCCAACGGUACAAGAUGAGCAUGCGUCCUAUUAGCUAGUUGGUGUGGUAACGGCAUACCAAGGCUACGAUAGGUAGGGGUCCUGAGAGGGAGAUCCCCCACACUGGUACUGAGACACGGACCAGACUCCUACGGGAGGCAGCAGUGAGGAAUAUUGGACAAUGGGCGCAAGCCUGAUCCAGCCAUGCCGCGUGCAGGAAGACGCAUCUAUGGUGUGUAAACUGCUUUUGUACGGGAAGAAACACUCCCUCGUGAGGGAGCUUGACGGUACCGUAAGAAUAAGGAUCGGCUAACUCCGUGCCAGCAGCCGCAGUAAUAC
rnacentral:rRNA from 1 species